AAUUAUUUCUCAUCAAGUUCUCAAAACCCAAUACCAACAAUGUUUGCUACUAGUUCAACUACACCAUUCUCGGCAUAUGAUUCUCAACAAUAUUAUCGUCCUACUAUGCCGUCUACAAAUAUUUUUGGUAUGCAACAUACUGAUGAUGAGGUUGUCGUUGAAGAUGUUGAUGAAGAUGAAGAUGAUUCAGAUGAGGAGGAGCCACAAUUGGUGACACGUGGAAGAGCAAGA
rnacentral:lncRNA from 1 species